rnacentral:ncRNA from 1 species
GAGGUACCGGGAAGCAGUGAACUCUGAGCCACCCCACGGUCGCCUGAUGGUGCGCUGCCGCGAACCGUCAGGCUCAGAGCGAGCCAGUGGCGAGACCGCCCCGGACUGG